CAGUCGCCACGGUAAUGCGAAGGGUGCAAGCGUUAAUCGGAAUUACUGGGCGUAAAGCGUGCGUAGGCGGUUUGUUAAGUCUGUUGUGAAAUCCCCGGGCUCAACCUGGGAAUGGCAAUGGAUACUGGCAAGCUAGAGUGUGUCAGAGGAUGGUGGAAUUCCCGGUGUAGCGGUGAAAUGCGUAGAGAUCGGGAGGAACAUCAGUGGCGAAGGCGGCCAUCUGGGACAACACUGACGCUGAGGCACGAAAGCGUGGGGAGCAAACAGGAUUAGAUACCCGCGUAGUCCCUGUCUCUUAUAC
rnacentral:rRNA from 1 species